rnacentral:lncRNA from 1 species
GCAGUCGGAGGCAGGCAAGAAGUGAAAUCAGAAGACGGGAAGUGGCUGAGGGGAACGUCUUUUCUCUCUCCUGCUCAGCCCGAAGUGAACAGAGAUGAGAUCCUGGAUUGAAUGACUACUAUGGAAAGUGAUUGACCAAGGGCCGCUCACCAUGGCAGCCGGCUCCAUCACCACCAGCCAGCGAGAGGGCAAGACAAGAGGGCUGACGAGGGACGCUACCAUCACAGAGGAUUAUAAACACUAGUCAUAAAGCAUGAACUGCCUGGGGGUGGUGGCUCACACCUGUAAUCCCAGCACUUUGGGAGGCAGUUGGAUCACCUGAGGUCAGGAGUUUGAGACUAGCCUGACCAAUAUGGUGAAACCCCACCUCUAGCUGGGUGUGGUGGUGUGCACCUGUAAUCCCAGCUACUUGGAGACAGGAGAAUCGCUUGAACCUGGGAGGUGGAAGUUGCAGUGAGUGGAGAUCAUGCCAUUGUACUCCAGCCUGGGCGACAGAGCAAGACUUCAUCUCAAAAAUAAGUAAGUAAAGCUCCAACUGUUUGUUCCACCUAUUCUCUGGGCGGGGUCCUGUGCUGGCCCUUUCAAGGAAGGUCUCGUAUAACCCCCCCAGUGACUGUGAGGUGAGUCCUAUUAAGGCCUGCACUCUGCAGAUGAAGAAACAGGCUCAGAGGGGUAACAGCUCUUCCCCAGGAGGUGCAGCUGGUUUGGGGUGAAGCUGGAGUUACCCUGAGUACAGCCUGACUCCAGGCGUCAGCUCCACGGCCUCUUCCUCUGAG